CACACAAACUACCAGUUUGAAUUAUUUGUAAUUUGUCAUUUCCCUUUGUUUUCAUAAUUUAAUUUCAAAGUAUCAGUAGUUACAGAAAAAUAAUUAUAAAAAGGGGAAGAUUGGCAGAUCAGUUAAGUAAAUUAAAUGUAAGUAAAAAUUUUACUUGAAAUAAUCUCUUUUUUCCUCUGGAAAUCAAGGAUGGGAAAUAUUUAUCCUUUAACUUGUAUGCAUACUAAAACAGCCCUCCUCUCCUUGCUUUUCAGAUGUAGCUCAUAUCCUAGUGUACGUGUUUGGUUCUGCUGUCCUAAGUGUCCUUAAUUCAGUUGCUCUAGCAACAGAAGUGUUUCUGAACGCAGAAAAAGGGGAGCGAACUGUGGAAGAUCUUCGAGUGAUCGUCUUGCCUCUUGAAUCUUUAUUUUUGGCUUUUUGGCUUGGUUUACAGAUGUAUGCCUUCUGUAUGCAGAAGAAGAAAAUAACAGAACAGCUGAGUCAGCUUUUCCAGAGCUGCAAAAAACGACUCCGAUGUCCAACAUCAUCUCAGACACCACAAGCAGAACCAGGAGAGAUGGACCCUCUCUCCACCUGAGCAGAGUACAGCACAAAGGCAGGAGGGAGUAUGAAGAUGGUCUCAGUGCCGUGUAAAGGAUCCUUUGUUAUCGACACAAGAACACAGUCUAAGGGCCAGAUUAUGUGUACCCACAAUGCACUUUGCAGUACUGUUCUACACUGAAGUAUGACAUCAUUCAUCUGUAAAUAUCGUUUAACUCACAUUCCUGGGAAAGCCUAGCUAAUGAACAUAGCUUUAGUUAAUGCUGCCAAAACGUUAAUCAUGAUGUUAGCAAUCUGUUGCUGUUGCAAUUUCUGAUUAACUCAUUUUCACCCCAUUUGCCUACUGCUUUUUUCUGUUUUACAGAGCUCAUAAAGUCAGCUUAGAGGAAAGCUGCACUUGAAUGGUGCAUUAUGACAGGGUUAUGUUAAUAAAUUAAUGUUACUUGUUUUGCAUUUGUAUUGUGUGAUUUUCAAAAAAAUAAAAGAUAUUGAUUUUCAUAAAA